ACGGAAGGCAGCAGUGGGGAAUAUUGGACAAUGGGGGGAACCCUGAUCCAGCGACGCCGCGUGAGUGAAGAAGUAUUUCGGUAUGUAAAGCUCUUUAAGCAGGAAAGAAAAUGACGGUACCUGCAGAAUAAGCCCCGGCUAACUACGUGCCAGCAGCCGCGGUAAUACGUAGGGGGCAAGCGUUAUCCGGAUUUACUGGGUGUAAAGGGAGCGCAGACGGCAUAGCAAGUCUGAAGUGAAAUCCCCGGGCUCAACCCGGGAACUGCUUUGGAAACUGUUAAGCUAGAGUGUCGGAGAGGUAAGUGGAAUUCCUAGUGUAGCGGUGAAAUGCGUAGAUAUUAGGAGGAACACCAGUGGCGAAGGCGGCUUACUGGACGAUAACUGACGUUGAGGCUCGAAAGCGUGGGGAGCAAACAGGAUUAGAUACCCUGGUA
rnacentral:rRNA from 1 species